CCUACGGGGGGCUGCAGUGGGGAAUAUUGGGCAAUGGGCGCAAGCCUGACCCAGCAACGCCGCGUGAAGGAAGAAGGCUUUCGGGUUGUAAACUUCUUUUAAGAGGGAAGAGCAGAAGACGGUACCCUGAAAACAAGCCACGGCUAACUACGUGCCAGCAGCCGCGGUAAUACGUAGGUGGCAAGCGUUGUCCGGAUUUACUGGGUGUAAAGGGCGUGUAGCCGGGAAGGCAAGUCAGAUGUGAAAUCUGGAGGCUCACACUCCAAAUUGCAUUUGAAACUUUUUUUCUUGAGUACUGGAGAGGGAGACGGAAUACUCUGUGUAGAGGGGAAAUGUGUAGAGAUAAGGAGGAACACCAGUGGCGAAGGCGGUCUGCUGGACAGCAACUGACGGUGAGGCGCGAAAGCGUGGGGAGCAAACAGGAUUAGAUACCCGGGUAGUC
rnacentral:rRNA from 1 species